CACCAGCCCCAUGUGGCCACUGAACAUUGGAAACGUGGCUAGUGUGACGGGGGAGCUUGAAUUUUUUGUUUCCUUUCAAUUUGACGAAUUUAAAUUGAAACAGGCUUAUGUGGUUAGUGAUUCUUGAAAGCUCAGGGCUAGAGCAGUGGUUCUCAAACUUAGGGGCACAUUGGAAUCACCUGGAGGGCUUGUUAAAACACAGAUUGCAAGGCCCCACCCCUAGCAUAACUGAUGCUGAUCCUGCUGACUUUGACCUCCAAGGGCGGACCCUUGGAGAACCUCUGCUCUAGAUGAGGCACCUUCCCAGCUGUGGUAGCCUCAGACUCACCCUCAGUGCCAGCACGGCCCACCAAGUCCAGAUGAGAGCUGGAGGAUCCUCCGAGAGGGCGAAUGUGAAGGUCUGAGGCCGCUUCAGGGCUGCAGUGUUCCGGAUGGUAAGAAACGUCCAGCAUGGGACUCUGCGGCGAAUUCUGGGCGCUUGUUAGAAUGUUUACAUCAAGGGAAGUAAGCCUUUCUUCACCCACCACCCCACUGUCCUACACUCCUCCAAUGUUCCCUUGCUGCAUUUCAGAAUUAAAAAAAACUCUUUUCUCUGGUAUGACUUCAAA